AUUGAACGCUGGCGGCAGGCCUAACACAUGCAAGUCGAGCGCGCGGCGGACGGGUGAGUAAUGUCUGGGAACAUGCCUGUUGGAGGGGGAUAACUACUGGAAACGGUAGCUAAUACCGCAUACCAUCAGAUGUGCCCAGGUGGGAUUAGCUAGUCGGUGGGGUAACGGCUCACCUAGGCGACGAUCCCUAGCUGGUCUGCGCGGAUGACCAGCCACACUGGAACUGAGACACGGUCCAGACUCCGACGGGAGGCAGCAGUGGGGAAUAUUGCACAAUGGGCGCAAGCCUGAUGAAGCCAUGCCGCGUGUGUGAAGAAGGCCUUCGGGUUGUAAAGCACUUUCAGCGGGGAGGCGUUACCCGCAGAAGAAGCACCGGCUAACUCCGUGCCAGCAGCCGCGGUAAUUC
rnacentral:rRNA from 1 species